GAUGAAGAACGUAGCGAAAUGCGAUAAGUAGUGUGAAUUGCAGAAUUCAGUGAAUCAUCGAGUCUUUGAACGCACAUUGCGCCCCCUGGUAUUCCGGGGGGCAUGCCUAUUCGAGCGUCGUGGUCACGCUUCAAGCCCGGCUUGAUGAUGGGGAACGCCCUCUCUCGGGGGGGGGCCUCCUUCAAAUGCAACUCCAGACGCCUCGUUGGCUGGGAGCGCAGCAGCAGUGCGCUUCCCCGAGGCGACCGGAUGCCCCUCGUGGGCUCGAGAUUGCUAGACCUCGAAUUAGGCAGGGAUACCCGCUGAACUUAAGCAUAUCAAUAAGCGGAGGA
rnacentral:misc_RNA from 1 species